AGUGAACGCUGGCGGUAGGCCUAACACAUGCAAGUCGAACGGCAGCACAGUAAGAGCUUGCUCUUACGGGUGGCGAGUGGCGGACGGGUGAGGAAUACAUCGGAAUCUACUUUUUCGUGGGGGAUAACGUAGGGAAACUUACGCUAAUACCUCAUACGACCUACGGGUGAAAGCAGGGGAUCUUCGGACCUUGCGCGAUUGAAUGAGCCGAUGUCGGAUUAGCUAGUUGGCGGGGUAAAGUCCCACCAAGGCGACGAUCCGUAGCUGGUCUGAGAGGAUGAUCAGCCACACUGGAACUGAGACACGGUCCAGACUCCUACGGGAGGCAGCAGUGGGGAAUAUUGGACAAUGGGCGCAAGCCUGAUCCAGCCAUACCGCGUGGGUGAAGAAGGCCUUCGGGUUGUAAAGCCCUUUUGUUGGGAAAGAAAAGCAGCAGGUUAAUACCCCGCUGUUCUGACGGUACCCAAAGAAUAAGCACCGGCUAACUUCGUG
rnacentral:rRNA from 1 species